UUUCACUUCUCUCUCGUCUCUGCUCUUUGAAGAAAAUUAGGGUUCUUUCAUCAAACCGAAGAAAAGAUUGCAGAGAGAAAGAUCUCUAAAAACAAACUACCAGGAGGAAUUUUAACACAAUCGAUCUGUAAAUUACUACCUGGAUCUUCUUCGUAUUUCUUCUUACUUUACUCAAAACUCCAAUUCAAACACCUCGCAAACAACGAAACCCUAGAAAUUCAUCAACUCCUCCAGUGAAACGAACUGCAAAUCUUCUUCACAACGAAUCCAAAGAUAUUGUUUCUCCAUCUCAGAUGAUAAUUUCACCCGUUCCUGAAGAAACUAAAGUAACGUCACCAGAUCUCAAAUUAUCUAUCGAGUCUGUAGAGAUUCUUGAUUCUUAUUUUCUUGUUUCUCCAAAAGCAGAUGAUCAGAAUCUCGUUUUCGAUAUCGAUUCGUCUCUCUCAGCUCUAUCUGAAAUCACCAGUUGCACCGUGACUCUGGCUCAAGCUAAAUCUUCACCUCUCUCAGCUUCAUCUGAAAUCGCCAGCUACACAGUGAAUUCAGGUCAAGAUAAAUCUGACGAAUCUGAAAUCUCAACCACAACAGAAAUUUCCGAACUGUCGAGGAUGUGAAUAUGGACCAUGAUGGGAAGAGAUCACUCCCUAUGGGAUUUCAGCUGAUAUUAUUGCCGAUCUUACCGACUGUAAUACUUUACUAUUACAUCAUAGGAAAAAACGCCAGAUUCCUUCCACAUUGGCUCAUGUCGAUGACCUUGAGAGGUACACCCAGCUUUACAACCAUCCCCUUCACAAAACUAACAGACCUGGCAUUUUUUCCGUUGACAUACAUCCAUCCAUCCAAGGUACAACUAUAAGCUGCCAUAGUGCCAUGUUGUUUUUGGUACUGUUACAUUCAUUUCAACUAGCCUCCACUUUUGGAAUCCUCAUGUAGUUAUGAGUCCGAACUUUGUGAUCAUCCCCUUUAUUGAGUAGCAGGAUAUUAUUGCAACCGGAGGGGUUGACACAAAUGCCAUUGUUUUCGACCGCACAUCAUGGCAGAUUUUGUCUACACUCAGUGGAAAUUCGAAGAAGGUUACCAGUGUCAAAUUUGUACCCAAGGACGAUUUCUUUGUUACUGCUUCGGCAGAUAAGACUGUUCGUGUGUGGGAAGGAUCUGAAGAUGGAAAUUAUAACUGUCGACACGUCUUAAAAGAUCAUACUGCCUAGGGAGCAAUUCUGGUUCGUUGGCGUCUUCUCAUAGGGUUUUAUUAAUUAAUUGUGGAAGAUACAAAUCCUAGAGACUAAAUUAAUUUUAUGUGUUGGUUGCAUUUAAAAUAGUGUAUCUACUAGUUACACAUGAUUUCUAGCAUGUGUAUCUACUAGUUACACAGACUUUCUAGCAUGUGUAUCUGCUAGUUACACAUGCUUUUAGGAUGUGGAGUUCAUUGAGACAGGAACUUAGUCUUGGAUAUGUACUAUGUGCCUGACCGUACCUUGCUUGAUGCAGAUUUUUGUGGCAUGUUUACUCGAGUUAAUUCUUUGCUUCGAUGGCCCUAACAAUACUUGCACAGAUGUGUCGAUGUGGUUUGCGCGCACUGAUAAGACACUAGCUUACCAAGAGAACCAAGAACAUUUAUCAAAGCUCUGGGAUAUUCUUGCAGUUUAUGUCUGGAUAAAUAAGGAAGUUGGCUACUGUCCAGAUAUGCAAGCAUUUUGGAGUGAGGUAGACAAGAAGGAAAGGGAAAACUUCUAUUAUAGGAUUCAGUGGCUUAUUUAUGGUGUUUCUAACUCAUUUAUUGUGUUCAAUAACAACCGAUUACUAUAACUGAUAAAUAGAGAAAUUAUUGUAAAUGAAUAUUAAAGAAAAUAUAUGUAUUUUCUGUAUGUUUCUUUUUGA